AGUGAACGCUGGCGGUAGGCCUAACACAUGCAAGUCGAACGGCAGCACAGUAAGAGCUUGCUCUUACGGGUGGCGAGUGGCGGACGGGUGAGGAAUACAUCGGAAUCUACUUUUUCGUGGGGGAUAACGUAGGGAAACUUACGCUAAUACCGCAUACGACCUACGGGUGAAAGCAGGGGAUCUUCGGACCUUGCGCGAUUGAAUGAGCCGAUGUCGGAUUAGCUAGUUGGCGGGGUAAAGGCCCACCAAGGCGACGAUCCGUAGCUGGUCUGAGAGGAUGUUCAGCCACACUGGAACUGAGACACGGUCCAGACUCCUACGAGAGGCAGCAGUGGGGAAUAUUGGACAGUGGGCGCAAGCCUGAUCCAUCCAUACCGCGUGGGUGAAGAAGGCCUUCGGGUUUUAAAGCCCUUUUGUUGGGAAAGAAAAGCAGCGGGUUAAUACCCCGCUGUUCUGACGGUACCCAAAGAAUAAGCACCGGCUAACUUCGUG
rnacentral:rRNA from 1 species